rnacentral:rRNA from 1 species
GACGAACGCUGGCGGCGUGCUUAACACAUGCAAGUCGAACGGAGCUAGAUAGCUUGCUAUCGAUGCUUAGUGGCAAACGGGUGGCCUCUACUUGUAAGCUAUCGCCUGAAGAGGGGUUUGCGUCUGAUUAGGUAGUUGGUGAGGUAACGGCCCACCAAGCCGACGAUCAGUAGCCGGUCUGAGAGGAUGAACGGCCACACUGGAACUGAGACACGGUCCAGACUCCUACGGGAGGCAGCAGUAGGGAAUCUUCCGCAAUGGGCGAAAGCCUGACGGAGCAACGCCGCGUGAGUGAUGACGGCCUUCGGGUUGUAAAGCUCUGUGAUCGGGGACGAACGGUCAGCAGACGAAUACUCUGCUGAAGUGACGGUACCCGAAUAGCAAGCCACGGCUAACUACGUG